GACGAACGCUGGCGGCGUGCUUAACACAUGCAAGUCGAACGGAAAGGCCCUGCUUUUGUGGGGUGCUCGAGUGGCGAACGGGUGAGUAACACGUGAGUAACCUGCCCUUGACUUUGGGAUAACUUCAGGAAACUGGGGCUAAUACCGGAUAGGAGCUCCUGCUGCAUGGUGGGGGUUGGAAAGUUUCGGCGGUUGGGGAUGGACUCGCGGCUUAUCAGCUUGUUGGUGGGGUAGUGGCUUACCAAGGCUUUGACGGGUAGCCGGCCUGAGAGGGUGACCGGCCACAUUGGGACUGAGAUACGGCCCAGACUCCUACGGGAGACAGCAGUGGGGAAUAUUGCACAAUGGGCGGAAGCCUGAUGCAGCAACGCCGCGUGCGGGAUGACGGCCUUCGGGUUGUAAACCGCUUUCGCCUGUGACGAGGCGUGAGUGACGGUAAUGGGUAAAGAAGCACCGGCUAACUACGUG
rnacentral:rRNA from 1 species